CUGGAGAUUGGAGGCCUCUGUUUAGACACAGGACCUACCAUGUGGAGUGUGGUAACAUAAGCUUUCCCCAUUCACUUCCAUCCAUGUGCCUCUUCCAUGACCUGGAGUGACCACCUCUAGAUGUAAAAUGGUAGCUCAGGAUCCUUCAGUCUUUAGCUUCU
rnacentral:sRNA from 1 species